rnacentral:sRNA from 1 species
UUCUAGAGGCAACUUUAUGUGAAUGGAC